rnacentral:rRNA from 1 species
UACGAGGGGGGCGAGCGUUGUUCGGAAUUAUUGGGCGUAAAGAGCGUGUAGGCGGCUUUGCAGGUCCGCUGUGAAAACUCGAGGCUCAACCUCGAGCUGUCGGUGGAAACCGUAAAGCUAGAGUCCGGAAGAGGAGAGUGGAAUUCCCGGUGUAGCGGUGAAAUGCGCAGAUAUCGGGAGGAACACCAGUGGCGAAGGCGGUUGCCUGGGGCUUUGCUGACGCUGAUGCGCGAAAGCGUGGGGAGCGAUCCGG